rnacentral:rRNA from 1 species
CUCUGUGCCACAGCUGCUUGUAAAUACCCAAUCUCGUCAGAGCUCAGGAGCUAAGCAAGGCCGGGCCUGGUUAGUACUUGGAUUGGAGACUGCUGGGACUCCAGGUGACACAGUGG